AUUGAACGCUGGCGGCAGGCCUAACACAUGCAAGUCGAGCGGAUGAAGGGAGCUUGCUCCUGGAUUCAGCGGCGGACGGGUGAGUAAUGCCUAGGAAUCUGCCUGGUAGUGGGGGAUAACGUCCGGAAACGGGCGCUAAUACCGCAUACGUCCUGAGGGAGAAAGUGGGGGAUCUUCGGACCUCACGCUAUCAGAUGAGCCUAGGUCGGAUUAGCUAGUUGGUGGGGUAAAGGCCCACCAAGGCGACGAUCCGUAACUGGUCUGAGAGGAUGAUCAGUCACACUGGAACUGAGACACGGUCCAGACUCCUACGGGAGGCAGCAGUGGGGAAUAUUGGACAAUGGGCGAAAGCCUGAUCCAGCCAUGCCGCGUGUGUGAAGAAGGUCUUCGGAUUGUAAAGCACUUUAAGUUGGGAGGAAGGGCAGUAAGUUAAUACCUUGCUGUUUUGACGUUACCAACAGAAUAAGCGCCGGCUAACUUCGUG
rnacentral:rRNA from 1 species